rnacentral:rRNA from 1 species
UGACGCGGUGAAUACGUUCCCGGGCCUUGUACACACCGCCCGUCAAGCCAUGGAAGUUGGGGUACCUAAAGUACGUAACCGCAAGGAGCGUCCUAAGGGUAAAACCGAUAACUGGGGCU